GACGAACGCUGGCGGCGUGCUUAACACAUGCAAGUCGAACGGAAAGGCCCUGCUUUUGUGGGGUGCUCGAGUGGCGAACGCGUGAGUAACACGUGAGUAACCUGUCCUUGUCUUUGGGAUAACUUCAGGAAACUGGGGCUAAUACCGGAUAGGAGCUCCUGCUGCAUGUUGUUGGUUGGAAAGUUUCGGCGGUUGUGGCUGGACUAGCUGCUUAUGAGCUUGUUGGUGUGGUAGUGGCUUACAAAGGCUUUGACGGCUACCCGGCCUGGGAGGUUGACCGGCGACAUUGGGACUGAGAGACGGCCCAGACGCCUACGGGAGGCAGCGGGGGGGAAUAUUGCGGAAUGGGCGGAAGCCUGAUGCAGCAACGCCGCGUGCGGGAUGACGGCCUUCGGGUUGUAAACCGCUUUCGACUGUGACGAAGAGUGAGUGACGGUAAUGGGUAAAGAAGCACCGGCUAACUACGUG
rnacentral:rRNA from 1 species